ensembl:lncRNA
CCAGUUCCCAGUCUCUAAGCCUCAUGAAUUAAGUGCAGGCAUUGCAGCAUGACGGAUCUCACAAGACAUCAUCUAGAAUCACAGGAAGACGUAAAAAUCUUACAUUUGAUUUUUCUUAAAAAUGCAUCAUUUUCUUCCAAAGCCGUAACUCUAACAGUUAUAGAGAGAAAAAUAAGGAUGUCAGCACUUUCUUUUUUCAGAAAAAGGGUACUUUUCCAAGCUCAGUUCCUGGUUUCAAAGGGACAUGACUCACAUUUUCUCGCAUGCCUGGACACGACAGAACGGUUUGGUAGGACACAGACAUGAGUGUGACAGCUUGAAAUCCCCAGUCCAUGGAAGAAGCAAUCAAUUUUCAUCUUCCUCAUUGAUGAGCUCCUCUGCAGUAUGAGGUUAUAUAGGCCAUUUGUGUGGAAAGCCUUCAUUUCUGGCUGCCAUGUUGAAGAACCUUGGGAAGACUUGACUUCUUUCAUGCUCAUCAGUUCCAAAAACCUGACCUCCUUAGAGGAUGUCGUGGGACAAUUCAUUCGUGCACAAAAAAGAAAAGCAAGUAGGAGCUUAAAGAAGAUUCUGCAGCCCAUGGAAAGAGUUUGAAUUCCAUACCAUGCUUCAUGCCUUCAAGAGGUAGAGCAUUCAGCCCAGGAGCGUGAUGCCCAAGGAGUAGUUGGCUCUAUGGUCAUCUGAUUGCUCUGCUAGAGUAGGUCAGUGAGAUGUUAAAUACAAAGAGCUUUCAAGCCUUUAAAAUUGGACUUCUGCACAACUUAACUAGCUUUCCUGACCUAAUACAAUAAAUGCAAUCCACUGUGGAUACAAACAAAUCAGACAAAUAUGAGCCACUGGGACCUAAUGGAAAACCCCAAGUCCCAUUGAGACCAUAUCUCAGCUUUUCAAGCAGCAGCUCAAGGUAAGAUUGCAGGCAAUGCAGCAAGAAUCUGAUGUGCACAGGGAAGGAAAUUCUACUGUUUGGCAACAGGGAACUACUUGAGACCUUGUCAGAAGCGGUGGGUGGAAGACUUCUUGCACCAGUGUGUGGUGGCAGGGCAGGAGCAACAGCUGCAUGAAGGGGGGCUGAGGUUGUAUUCUGCCAUUAAGUAAGGAGCAAUGCCAUGUUUGGAAACCUCAUGCAAACCAGCUCUCUGCCAUUCGAGUUGCUUUUGGAAAACCUUCCAGAAAAUCAGUUUCCUUCAGUAGGAAAUUUAAAGGUGCUGCAGGAGCUCAGCCUCUUGAUUUCAACGACUUGAUGUUCACAUGCACCCCAGCACACGCUCUCAGAGGUUUCACACAACAGAUUUUCAUCUGUGGGUAACUAGAGAUACAGACAUGCGACUAUAUUUGGAGCCACAAAUGAGGCACAUCACAACUACUGAACAGCACACGCUCCUUUUUCCUGUUAAAGUGACUUGUCUGCUUUAGGAGCAUCAGCUUCCGACACCCACAAUUAAACUGUGAAUUUUCUAAGGUUCGUUAGACAUCCUUCCGCAGGGAGGCCAGCAGUGCAGAACUCAGGGGGCCACCUCCUCCACAACAGGAUCAUCACUAAUGAGAAUGUGUUAUCCUGCGUUCUUCCAAAUCAAUUAUAAUCUUGCUCUUUUUUGGGGUACCCGGCUUCAAGUGACAUGAAGUAAAUGUGGCCUUCCAAAGGUAGGUGUUCAAUUUAAGCUCAUCUUACAGGCACCUGAUUCUGGGCAACCGAAAAUGGGAGCACCAAAAACAGAGGUGUUUUGAAAGCAGUGACUGCCGUAAGGGAAGAGUUCGGUUCGUUUCCUCUCUGGAGUGCUCUUCUAUUGACUCAGUCCUCAAGCAGUGGGAGGUGCUGGAAGGUUGUUUAAACACAAAGAAGAGAGGCAAGGUGAUCUCAAAUAAGAUACGAGUACUGUGGGUUGACCUAUUACUGAGAUGUUUACUGUACAGAAUUUUGUUUAACUUCAGUCCUUAAAGAAUAAAAUCGGCUCCUGAAGGCAUUUAAGAGACUGCAUCCAGACAGCAAGCUGCAGCCUGUGUCAGCACCACUUGAAGGGCCACUGGGGACUGUGCUGGAGCCCUGUUCAGGCAGAGGAAGCAACUGCCAUGGAUCUGCUGUCCCUGCUCAAUGCAAAGAAGUUGGACCAGAUGACCUUUAAAGAUCCCUUGCAACUCCAACUCUAUGAUUCUAUGAAAAUAAAUGGACUCCAGCAGCUCAAAGAGGUACCUGAAGUUAGCUGUGCCUGAGCCGUCUUCAGGAGGGCUGAGGAUGUGGUAGGAAGCAUAGCCUGAUCUGGCAGACCUCUUCUGUCUCUGGUGGUUGGCAACCCUGCACACAGCAGGGGGGUUGAAACUAGAUGAUGAUUAUGGCCAUUCUAUGUUAUGAUAUAAAAGCUCCAUUCCUGUAGUAGUGUAAAAAGUGAUGAAUUUAUUGCUCCGUUCAUUAGUAUACGGAUUGAGGAAAGGAAGGGAGGGCAGGUAGCAAGUCUGGUUGGGUGCUUGCCACGAGCCUGG